CAUGAGAUCGCUAAAAACAAAAGGUAUCACAGAUUCUCAGAGCAGAAAGGAAAAGGAUUUUGGAGCAUCCUACAGAUUUUCAUUUUUCAAAACUUACGUGUCGAUCUCUAUAACCCACACAAGCAAGGACUGUGUAACCUUUUUAUGACAAACAAAGGGUCCUUGUGGGCAAGAGUGAGGUGGCCCUAGGGCGUGUGGCCAGAUCUGCCUGGGCCCAUUGGUUCUGCUACCUCACAGAACCCAGUGUGAGGUCACAGUUGUUAGCUAUAUAAGGCCGAGGCUCAGGUGGAUCGCUUGUGGGUGACCUAGGAGUUGGACGGCGAGUGUUGGUGGUGAUUUGGUGAUCGGGUUGGUGGUGUGGAGAGUGGAGCUUCUGUUUCCAUCGAGAUCUACAGGGUGGGUAGUGCCAUGAGGGAACAUCUUGGCUGGACUUCACCGACAUGUCCAGCAGUCAGCCUCCAGGAAAACUAUGAGGUGCUGGGCCUGACCACCAGCUCCAGCAGUCACAGCCGCCAGGAAAACUGUGAGGUGCUGGCCCGCUUUGACAAAGGCGGCUUUGGUAGGAUCUUCCUGUGGCACGGGGAUGCUGGUCGCUGUGAAGGAGUUAGAGAAGGCAACGAUGCCAGCAGCCUGCAUUACAUCGGAGGUAGAGAUCCUGCAGGACCUUGAGCACCCUAACCUUGUACAGCUACUGGAGGUCAUCAAAACCAAGAACGAAGUAUACCUGGUCCUAGAGUAUGCGGACGGGGGGGAAACCUGCAGCAACGGAUCCUCAGGACUGAAAACCACAGGCUGCCGGAGGAGGAGGCCCGAGGGAUAUUUCGGGAUAUCAUGGGAGCCGUGGAUUACUGUCAUGCCCAGGGAAUUGUACACGGGGACCUCAAACCCAAAAAUGUUCUCAUAGAUUCCCAAGGUCACGCCAAAAUCUGUGACUUUGGGGCGGGAUACCGGUUCCUCCCUGGGCAGGAGAUGGUCGUAACUCAUGGCACGCUGAAAUACUGUGCCCCAGAGCGGCUCUUGUCUGGGUGGUAUGAAGGCCGUCCCCUGGAUGUUUGGGCCCUUGGAGUUUUAUUAUAUGAAAUCCUCACGGGGCAGCUCCCGCUUAAUGGGGCUAAAAUAGAGAUGGUCCGAACUAUGCUAUCUGGGAGGUACUCUUGUCCCCAGUCCAUCUCCCCGGGAUGCACAAGAUCUCAUCCGGAACCUCCUGCACUCCAACCCCAGGAUGCGGCCCACAGUGCAGGAGGUGCUGCAGCACGCAGUGGCUCCAAGGUGUCCCACCCCUCAGUCCUCCUGAGCUCCCUAUCCCUGUAAAAACUCAUAUCCUCCACCUGAUGGACAGGAUGGGAUUUGACCCGCCCAAGGUCCUUCACUCAGUGAAUAGAAAGGCGCACAACAACGAGAUGGCCACAUUCCUGCUGUUGCAGAGGCUGGCACUCCAGGGGGUGCCCUUAAGGAUAUGCGUGAGGCCUGUGUGUGCACCUGAGAAUGAGGAUGCCCCUGAACAGGAAAUAGCAUCACCCUCAACAGCUCCUGCACCCUCAUCUCACAUCCCCCCGAGGAGUGCCAGCGCACUUGUCACCUGCAUGGGCCUCUUAUUUCCUGGGGUGAAGCCCACAGGAAGGCAGGGUGGUGGAGGCUCCCAGCCACCCAUUCCCAUCCCCAGGACCCCAACUCCUGGCAUGUCCUGCCAGCCUAGCCCUGCCGCCUGCCCAGGGUGUUCUGCCAGCCUGGCCCUGGGGCUUCCUGCUCUACCUCCAGCCCCACCUCCACCCCUAGCAGCAGAGGGAGGCAAUGCUGGAAGGCUCUGAAGAGGAGCAGCAGAGACUACCUGACAGCCCUGCUGCUGCGGCUGCCUGCCACCCUCAGGGCGCCACCAAAACAAGGUGGCCCCAAUUACAGAUCCUUGAGAAGUGACUCCGUAGAUGUGGCGAUCCUGCUCAUGGGGUAUAAGACCGAGGGCCUUACCAACACUCCAAGGAGCUGAGUGCAGUGAAGAACACCUGGGAAGGAACACACUGGACAAGUUGAAAAAUAAAACAGACCUUUAUUAGUCUGGCCAGAUGGCACUCCCAAAGCAAAAUAGCUUAGAGUCCGAGGCUGUUCUUAUAGGGUGUUGAGGGGGAAGUUAACAUACAGAAUUGAAGAAAAGGGACAAAGGUUAGUGGUCGACUGUCAUGUAUUGAUGGUCAGCAGACAUUUGCAGCUUGUUCUAUAGAUUGUGGUGUCCGGAACAUCAGUUCUGGGCAAACAAGGAGUUGAGUAGUUUACUUUGGGACUUUAGGUCUGUUACAGAUUUUAUCCAGUGUCCCAAAACUAACAAGCAUCUUUAUCCAUUAACUCACAUUUAAUCACAGUGAGGCUGGAGAAAAGAAACAAAGGUUAUGCAGUCCCACAUUCCUCACUGAUUUUUUGGAACUUAAGUAAUCUUACGCACAAAUGUAGGCAUCCAUUGUAUACAACAACAUGAUAAUAAUAAGCAUGUACACACAACUAUGAUGACAAGAAAAAGUUGUUUUAACCAUUGUAGGUUGGGCAACCACGAAGUUAACCAUUUGAACAAGUCCCCGCCAUCCUCAUCAUGUACUCUUUGAGCCAGAUCUUCUAAUUGUUUUACCUUUUUUUGAUCUUUGGACCAUUAUCGGUAAGAUUGAAACAACACAUAUUUUUUACUCUUUCACAACCUUGGUGGUGGAAGAGCAACAAAUAGUCUAUUGCUGUUCUAUUAUCUAAGAUUGCCUGUCUCUGUUCCUGUAACUCUUGGUUAAUUAAUGCCAAGGCUGAUGAGGUAGCAUUUAACCCUUUGACCACCUUGUAAGCUAAUUUUUGUACUGCCUUUUUAGCAUGGACUCCUAUAGAAGGCAGGGCAACAAAAGAUGCUAUCAUGGUUAUUACUUUAGCAUCUGUUAACAGACCUACGCCAUCAUCACAUCCUGGUGCAGUGUAAGG
rnacentral:lncRNA from 1 species